AAGCUUGCUCCAGGCGUCGAGCGGCGGACGGGUGAGUAAUGCAUAGGAAUCUGCCCGGUAGUGGGGGAUAACCUGGGGAAACCCAGGCUAAUACCGCAUACGUCCUACGGGAGAAAGCAGGGGAUCUUCGGACCUUGCGCUAUCGGAUGAGCCUAUGUCGGAUUAGCUUGUUGGUGAGGUAAUGGCUCACCAAGGCGACGAUCCGUAGCUGGUCUGAGAGGAUGAUCAGCCACAUCGGGACUGAGACACGGCCCGAACUCCUACGGGAGGCAGCAGUGGGGAAUAUUGGACAAUGGGCGAAAGCCUGAUCCAGCCAUGCCGCGUGUGUGAAGAAGGCUUUCGGGUUGUAAAGCACUUUCAGUGAGGAAGAAGGCCUUGGGGCUAAUACCCCCGAGGAAGGACAUCACUCACAGAAGAAGCACCGGCUAACUCCGUGCCAGCAGCCGCGGUAAUACGGAGGGUGCGAGCGUUAAUCGGAAUUACUGGGCGUAAAGCGCGCGUAGGCGGCGUGAUAAGCCGGUUGUGAAAGCCCCGGGCUCAACCUGGGAACGGCAUCCGGAACUGUCAGGCUAGAGUGCAGGAGAGGAAAGUAGAAUUCCCGGUGUA
rnacentral:rRNA from 1 species